CAGAGGGUAGUUUAAG
rnacentral:tRNA from 1 species